AAGGUAGAUAGAACAGGUCUUGUU
rnacentral:ncRNA from 5 species